UACGGGGGGAGCAAGCGUUGUUCGGAUUUACUGGGCGUAAAGGGCGCGUAGGCGGCCACCGCAAGUCAGUUGUGAAAUCUCUGGGCUUAACCCAGAAAGGUCAACUGAUACUGCGGGGCUAGAGUGCAGAAGGGGCAACUGGAAUUCUCGGUGUAGCGGUGAAAUGCGUAGAUAUCGAGAGGAACACCAGUGGCGAAGGCGAGUCCCUGGACAGGUCCUGACGCUGAGGCACGAAAGCUAGGGGAGCAAACAGG
rnacentral:rRNA from 1 species